rnacentral:misc_RNA from 1 species
AAGUCGUAACAAGGUUUCCGUAGGUGAACCUGCGGAAGGAUCAUUAACUAAGGGCUUGAACGCUUGCUGGCUUGCCAGCUUGCUUCAGCUAAUAUCCCUUAUUACCUUUGCCUAUUUGUACCUUUUGUUCAUCCCUCGGCGGGGACGCCUGCCGCUAGGGACCCCUGUAAACCCUUUUGUAUCAAGUAUUCUUCAGAAAAAAACUACCAAUUAUUUACAACUUUCAACAAUGGAUCUCUUGGUUCUG